rnacentral:rRNA from 1 species
UAACACAUGCAAGUCGAACGGGUCUGCCUUGUUUUUUGCGGGGUGGGUCAGUGGCGAACGGGUGAGUAACACGUGAGUAACCUGCCCCUCACUUCUGGAUAACCGCUUGAAAGGGUGGCUAAUACGGGGUGUUCUGGCUGUGCCGCAUGGUGUGGCUGGGAAAGAUUCACUUUUGUGGUGUUUUGGUGGGGGAUGGGCUCGCGGCCUAUCAGCUUGUUGGUGGGGUGAUGGCCUGCCAAGGCUUUGACGGGUAGCCGGCCUGAGAGGGUGGGCGGUCACACUGGGACUGAGAUACGGCCCAGACUCCUGCGGGAGGCAGCAGUGGGGGGUAUUGCACAAUGGGCGGAAGCCUGAUGCAGCGACGUCGCGUGAGGGAUGGAGGCCUUCGGGUUGUGAACCUCUUUCGCCGGUGAAGAAGGUCCUGUUCUUUGUGGUGGGGCUGACGGUAGCCGGGUUAUGAAGCGCCGGCUAACUACGUGCCAGCAGCCGCGGUAAUA